rnacentral:rRNA from 1 species
UUCUUUUAGAAAUAAUUAAAAGUAAUUUCUGCUCAAUGAAUAUUAUUAAAUAGCUGCAUUAAUGUACUAAGGUAGCAUAAUCAAUUGUCUAUUAAUUGUGGACUGGUAUGAAAGAAGAUAUAAUUAUAAAUUUUAUUAGAUCUAUUAUAUUGAAAUUAGAUUUUAGAUAAAAAUAUCUAAAUUAUUUUUAGGGACAAGAAGACCCUACAAAGCUUUAAUACAAAAUGGUAUAUAUAUAUAUANGUGUAUUAGUAAUUGUAUUUAAUUGGGGCAAUUUAUUAAGAUAAANUAUUUUAUUUAAAAUAUUGAGAUUAAUUUCUAAUUUUUAUGAUCCAUUAUUAAUGAUUGAUUGAAAAAGUUACUUUAGGGAUAACAGUAUAAUUUUUGUUUUAUAGUUCUGAUAUUUAAUAAAGAUUAUAACCUCGAUGUUGAAUUAAUAUUAUAAAAAGGUGAAGAAGCUUUUUAUAUCUGACUGUUCGUCUAU